UGAGGCUCCCGCCCCAGCCUGUUCUUUGUGCUCUAAUGACCUAUCUGCUAAUAACACUAUUUUUUAAUGUUCCCUUGUGCAUCGGAAUGGCGACAUCAAUAUAGAGAGGCCCACCUACUGGUUGAGCAGGCCCAGAAGAAGCAACUAGCCUUGGUGUCCCACCCAUACUGAGGCAUCUGGAGUUUCCUGCCAGCUGCCACAAGGAAACAGUGAAGGAGGUAGAGGGCUGCAACCACUGAACAUCACUGGUUUCUACCAAAGGAUCUGAGAAGCAAUCAAGCCAGACAUCUGCUAGAAGGGCAGCAAAAAAAGAGCCUAGCCAGAGAUAUUAAAGAUAUAGAUCCAUCUACUGGCUGGAGGCAAGGAAACAUCCAGGCUGAUACCAGAUGAAGAGACGAUGCUGAGAAAAAAUAAAUGAGUAAAACAAAGUAGAAGGAUGAAGAAAAAAA